rnacentral:rRNA from 1 species
GCGUGCCUAACACAUGCAAGUCGUACGAGAAAGUUGGCUUCGGCCGAUGAGUAAAGUGGCGCACGGGUGAGUAACGCGUGGAUAAUCUACCCCUCAGUUGGGAAUAACUCAUCGAAAGGUGGGCUAAUACCGAAUAAUACUGCAUGACUUCUGUUGUGUAGUCAAAGAUGGCCUCUGCUUGCAAGCUAUCGCUGAAGGAUGAGUCCGCGUACCAUUAGCUAGUUGGUAGGGUAAUGGCCUACCAAGGCAACGAUGGUUAGCUGGUCUGAGAGGAUGAUCAGCCACACUGGAACUGAGACACGGUCCAGACUCCUACGGGAGGCAGCAGUGAGGAAUAUUGCGCAAUGGGGGCAACCCUGACGCAGCAACGCCGCGUGAGUGAGGAAGGUUUUCGGACCGUAAAGCUCUGUCGAGCGGGAAGAAAUGCAUAGUGGCUAAUAUCCAUUAUGCUUGACGGUACCGCUAAAGGAAGCACCGGCUAACUCCGUGCCAGCAGCCGCGGUAAUACGGGGGGUGCUAGCGUUGUUCGGAAUCAUUGGGCGUAAAGAGCGUGUAGGCGGCUGGAUAAGUCAGAUGUGAAAGCCCUGGGCUUAACCCAGGAAGUGCAUUUGAAACUGUUCAGCUUGAGUAAGGGAGAGGAAAGUGGAAUUCCUGGUGUAGAGGUGAAAUUCGUAGAUAUCAGGAGGAACACCGGUGGCGAAGGCGACUUUCUGGCCCUAU